UACGUAGGGUGCAAGCGUUGUCCGGAAUUAUUGGGCGUAAAGAGCUCGUAGGCGGUCUGUCGCGUCUGCUGUGAAAACUCGGGGCUUAACCCCGGGCCUGCAGUGGGUACGGGCAGACUAGAGUGCGGUAGGGGAGACUGGAAUUCCUGGUGUAGCGGUGAAAUGCGCAGAUAUCAGGAGGAACACCGGUGGCGAAGGCGGGUCUCUGGGCCGUAACUGACGCUGAGACGCGAAAGCGUGGGGAGCAAACAGG
rnacentral:rRNA from 1 species